CAGGAAAAAUGGCCUAAUAAGCCAAAUCAGCAUUAUUCACACGCAUGCGCCAUGAACGUGUCAGAUAUUCCAGUCAAAGUUCACGGUUACCCACUUUUGUAAACAAAACCACGUUACUUGAGUGUGUGACCCAUUUAUAUCUUGCUUUUAAA